GGUCCCAUAGCUCAGUUGGUUAGAGCGUCGUACUAAUAUAAAAGAGUAACAUCUUCUAUAUCAAGUCCAUGCGAAGGUCUUCGGUUCGAGCCCGAGUGGGACCA